rnacentral:rRNA from 1 species
UACGUAGGGUGCGAGCGUUGUCCGGAAUUAUUGGGCGUAAAGAGCUCGUAGGCGGCUUGUCGCGUCGGAUGUGAAAGCCCGGGGCUUAACUCCGGGUCUGCAUUCGAUACGGGCAGGCUAGAGUUCGGUAGGGGAGAUCGGAAUUCCUGGUGUAGCGGUGAAAUGCGCAGAUAUCAGGAGGAACACCAGUGGCGAAGGCGCCGCUCUGGGCCGAGACUGACGCUGAGGAGCGAAAGCGUGGGUAGCAAACAGG